UCGAGAAUCUUCCGCAAUGGGCGAAAGCCUGACGGAGCGACGCCGCGUGGAGGACGAAGGCCUUCGGGUUGUAAACUCCUGUCACGGAUUAAGAAUGGCUCGGCGUGAACAACGCCGGGAUUGACGUAAGUCCGAGAGGAAGCACUGGCUAACUCUGUGCCAGCAGCCGCGGUAAUACAGAGAGUGCAAACGUUGUUCGGAAUUACUGGGCUUAAAGCGCACGUAGGCGGCUCCGCAAGUGUCGGGUGAAAUCCCACGGCUUACCCGUGGAACUGCCCGGCAGACUGCGGAGCUAGAGGAUGGUAGGGGAGAGCGGAACUCCUGGUGGAGCGGUGAAAUGCGUAGAUAUCAGGAGGAACACCGGUGGCGAAGGCGGCUCUCUGGUCCAUUUCUGACGCUG
rnacentral:rRNA from 1 species